AAAAUUUGAACACCUCCUCGGCUUUAUCCUAUUUCAAACAAUAUUCAGAAGUAGAAACUUGUUUUUUUUAUUAUUUUUGAUUUUUGAAAUGAAACUAAAACUAAAUAGAACUGAUUCCAUUUUUCAGUGGUGAGGCUGGGUUCGGUGUGGUGGCAAUGGUGGCCUGUAGAGGAGCUGGCGGAUGCUCUAGGUUAAGGAUAGAGAAGGCUCGUUCUUAUCGUUGCUUCUUUCUCCAUUUUUGGUAUGUAUCUUUUGCCCUGUUUUCACAUCCGUUCUCCUCCUCUUUGUUUUCGUGUGUGUACCGGUGUGUUUGACGGUGUGUUGCGUUAGCUGCUGUGGAGCAAAUGAAAACGGCUCA
rnacentral:lncRNA from 1 species